AACGAACGCUGGCGGCAUGCCUAACACAUGCAAGUCGAACGACACCGCCGGGUUUGGUGUCGCAGGGGUUGGUGAAGGGGUGGAUCAUGCCCUUGGGCUCGGCCUGACUCCCGGGAAAGCGUGCUAAUACCGUAGCUAAUCCUCCAACCAACGAUUUGUCGCCGUUGGGUGGGCGCGCGUUGGAUUAGCUAGUUGGAAGGGUAAAUGCCUACCAAGGUGACGAUCCAUAGAUGGUCUGAGAGGAUGAUCAGCCACACUGGGACUGAGACACGGCCCAGACUCCUACGGGAGGCAGCAGUGGGGAAUAGUGGACAAUGGGCGAAAGCCUGAUCCAGCAAUGCCGCGUGAGUGAUGAAGGCCUUAGGGUUGUAAAGCUCUUUUACCCGGGAUGAUAAUGACAGUACCGGGAGAAUAAGCUCCGGCUAACUCCGUG
rnacentral:rRNA from 1 species